rnacentral:tRNA from 1 species
GCGCCCGUAGCUCAAUUGGAUAGAGUAAUGGGCUUCGAACCCAAAGGUUGGGCGUUCGAUCCGCCCCGGGCGCGCCA